UACGUAGGGUGCAAGCGUUGUCCGGAUUUAUUGGGCGUAAAGAGCUCGUAGGCGGUUUGUCGCGUCGGAUGUGAAAACCUGGGGCUCAACCCCGGGCCUGCAGCCGAUACGGGCAGACUAGAAUUCGGUAGGGGAGACUGGAAUUCCUGGUGUAGCGGUGAAAUGCGCAGAUAUCAGGAGGAACACCGGUGGCGAAGGCGGGUCUCUGGGCCGAUAUUGACGCUGAGGAGCGAAAGCGUGGGGAGCGAACAGG
rnacentral:rRNA from 1 species